GAUGAACGCUGGCGGCGUGCUUAACACAUGCAAGUCGAGCGAGUGAGUUCUUCGGAACGAUCUAGCGGCGGACGGGUGAGUAACACGUGGGCAACCUGCCUCAUAGAGGGGAAUAGCCUCCCGAAAGGGAGAUUAAUACCGCAUAACAUCGUUGAAGGGCAUCCUUCGAUGAUCAAAGGAGCAAUCCGUUAUGAGAUGGGCCCGCGGCGCAUUAGCUAGUUGGUGAGGUAACGGCUCACCAAGGCGACGAUGCGUAGCCGACCUGAGAGGGUGAUCGGCCACAUUGGGACUGAGACACGGCCCAGACUCCUACGGGAGGCAGCAGUGGGGAAUAUUGCACAAUGGGGGAAACCCUGAUGCAGCAACGCCGCGUGAGUGAUGACGGCCUUCGGGUUGUAAAGCUCUGUCUUUGGGGACGAUAAUGACGGUACCCAAGGAGGAAGUCACGGCUAACUACGUGCCAGCAGCCGCCGUAA
rnacentral:rRNA from 1 species